UAUGGUCAGUUUCAGAGCAGGUAC
rnacentral:piRNA from 1 species